rnacentral:rRNA from 1 species
CUCAUUCCGAACACAGAAGUUAAGCUCUCUAGCGCUGAUGGUACUUGGUGGGAAACUGCCUGGGAGAGUAGGACGUAGCCACGU